UUUUUAUCAAGUUACAGGUAUUUGGCUUGUUUUAAGAGUUUGCCUUUAGGAAAGUUCUGUUGUAUUUAACCUUAGGCAGGAAUAACAAAUAAUUAUCUCAGAUAAGGAAUCCCUUGCUCCCUUCUUUGCUUUCCACCCCCAUGUUGUAAAUUCCUGAAGCCUCCUGACCCUUUUUCAACCCUCAUGUUGUAACCUCCUGACCCAACCCCCCUGACCCUUUUCUCUUUGAUGUGUGAUAAUAAAGACAGAAGGACAGAGAUGACCCGGCGCAGACGAUACCAAACUUUCAGGGAGUGCAGUUCUCCGUUUGGGUCAUCCUCUGUCCUCUUCUAUAAGAAGAGUCUGAAACUUGUGUUGUGUGCUUUUCAUUCUAGGAUAAAAUGGGUUAUCUUUAAUAACCCUAUCAGCCUGGUGCCGUGACGCGGAUCCCAACAUAUCAGCUCGCUGACGAGAGGAGCGGACACGCUGAAACCCACCGGUGGUCUGAGUCAAGGACCUGUCGAAAGUCCCGGGAGGUAAUUUCCUCGCUGGGCCAGCGUCGUAGGUUUACUCCUUUCGCCAACGAGGGAUUGACGGGAUCCGACCGGGAGAAAAGCACACCACAGCAAGUAAGUUUUAAACGACUGUUAAAGUCCGUCGUUUAGGGUUUAAGUCCCAUGUUACGGGUGAUUAAAAAAAAAAUCCCCCAAAGGUUAAUCGAGAGUUUGAGUCUCUCGAAGCUGCCGGUUUGAGUCCGUCGCAGAAGUUAAGGAAAACCAGGUUAAAGUCCUGAAAGGUAUAUAAAAAAAAAAACAACAAAAAAAAAAAACAAACAAAAGAAACAGGAUUAAAGUCCUGGAAAUGAUAUAAACACAACGCAGAAGUAAUUAGGAUGGGUUCAGCACAAAGUAGAAGGGGAAAUCCCAGAGGGGAUGAAAAGUUUGUGUAUCCAAGUAAAAUUAAAAUGUUAUUGCAAUAAAUAUUAUCAUAUAUAUUGCUUAAUAUUAAAAAAAAUACUUGGAGAAGUGGAAGAAAAGUAUAAAAUAGAUGGUGUGUUGAAGGUGAAUCAAUAGAAAAAUGUUGUGUGCCGGCUAAAAAUAAGCGCUAAGAAAGAAAAAAAAGAGGGGAAAUAAAAAAUGUGUGUGUGUAUGUCUAUGUGUAUGUGUGUAUGUAUGUAUAUAAAUAUAUUUAUAGCUAUAUAAGGGCUUGACGUUGCUCGCUGUAAGUUAAUUCAAGCACAAAAUAGGCAGGAUGAGAGACAGCCUCGUGCAGCAGGAGGGGUUGGGUUGGCUGAUGGAACGGUGGCGACUGCAGCGCCGCCGCGUCCGGCUGACAACCUUCCCCCAACACCUGUUGAUCUCCCACAAAAUUAGGCUCUAAACAAA